rnacentral:rRNA from 1 species
UGAGGAAUAUUGGUCAAUGGGCGGGAGCCUGAACCAGCCAAGCCGCGUGAGGGAAGAAGGCCCUAUGGGUCGUAAACCUCUUUUGUCAGGGAACAAAAGCGAGUAUGUAUACUAGUCUGAGUGUACCUGAAGAAAGAGCAUCGGCUAACUCCGUGCCAGCAGCCGCGGUAAUACGGAGGAUGCGAGCGUUAUCCGGAUUUAUUGGGUUUAAAGGGUGCGUAGGCGGCGAUGCAAGUCAGCGGUAAAGCCCGGGGCUCAACCCCGGCGAGCCGUUGAAACUGCAGUGCUAGAGAAGGCGAGAGGUACGCGGAAUGCGCAGUGUAGCGGUGAAAUGCUUAGAUAUUGCGCAGAACUCCGAUUGCGAAGGCAGCGUACUGGCGCCUGACUGACGCUGAGGCACGAAAGCGUGGGGAUCGAACAGGAUUAGAUACC